CGCACGGGUGCGUACCGCGUGGGAAUCUGCCCUUUGCUUCGGAAUAACAGUUAGAAAUGACUGCUAAUACCGGAUGAUGUCGCAAGACCAAAGAUUUAUCGGCAAGGGAUGAGCCCGCGUAAGAUUAGCUAGUUGGUGGGGUAAAGGCCUACCAAGGCGACGAUCUUUAGCUGGUCUGAGAGGAUGAUCAGCCACACUGGGACUGAGACACGGCCCAG
rnacentral:rRNA from 1 species